rnacentral:rRNA from 1 species
GAUGAACGCUGGCGGCGUGCCUAAUACAUGCAAGUCAAGCGAACAGACGAGGAGCUUGCUCCUCUGACGUUAGCGGCGGACGGGUGAGUAACACGUGGAUAACCUACCUAUAAGACUGGGAUAACUUCGGGAAACCGGAGCUAAUACCGGAUAAUAUAUUGAACCGCAUGGUUCAAUAGUGAAAGACGGUUUUGCUGUCACUUAUAGAUGGAUCCGCGCCGCAUUAGCUAGUUGGUAAGGUAACGGCUUACCAAGGCAACGAUGCGUAGCCGACCUGAGAGGGUGAUCGGCCACACUGGAACUGAGACACGGUCCAGACUCCUACGGGAGGCAGCAGUAGGGAAUCUUCCGCAAUGGGCGAAAGCUUGACGGGGCAACGCCGCGUGAGUGAUGAAGGUCUUCGGAUCGUAAAACUCUGUUAUUAGGGAAGAACAAAUGUGUAAGUAACUAUGCACGUCUUGACGGUACCUAAUCAGAAAGCCACGGCUAACUACGUG